UGGGGAAUUUUGGACAAUGGGGGAAACCCUGAUCCAGCCAUCCCGCGUGUGCGAUGAAGGCCUUCGGGUUGUAAAGCACUUUUGGCAGGAAAGAAACGUCGCGGGUUAAUACCCCGCGAAACUGACGGUACCUGCAGAAUAAGCACCGGCUAACUACGUGCCAGCAGCCGCGGUAAUACGUAGGGUGCAAGCGUUAAUCGGAAUUACUGGGCGUAAAGCGUGCGCAGGCGGUUCGGAAAGAAAGAUGUGAAAUCCCAGAGCUUAACUUUGGAACUGCAUUUUUAACUACCGGGCUAGAGUGUGUCAGAGGGAGGUGGAAUUCCGCGUGUAGCAGUGAAAUGCGUAGAUAUGCGGAGGAACACCGAUGGCGAAGGCAGCCUCCUGGGAUAACACUGACGCUCAUGCACGAAAGCGUGGGGAGCAAACAGGAUUAGAUACCCUGGUAGUCCACGCCCUAAACGAUGUCAACUAGCUGUUGGGGCCUUCGGGCCUUGGUAGCGCAGCUAACGCGUGAAGUUGACCGCCUGGGGGAGUACGGUCGCAAGAUUAAAAACUCAAAUGAAUUGACGGGGGUCAUAGCUGUUUUCCU
rnacentral:rRNA from 1 species